GAUGAACGCUGGCGGCGUGCCUAAUACAUGCAAGUCGAGCGAACGGACGAGAAGCUUGCUUUUCUGAUGUUAGCGGCGGACGGGUGAGUAACACGUGGAUAACCUACCUAUAAGACUGGGAUAACUUCGGGAAACCGGAGCUAAUACCGGAUAAUAUUUUGAACCGCAUGGUUCAAAAGUGAAAGACGGUCUUGCUGUCACUUAUAGAUGGAUCCGCGCUGCAUUAGCUAGUUGGUAAGGUAACGGCUUACCAAGGCAACGAUGCAUAGCCGACCUGAGAGGGUGAUCGGCCACACUGGAACUGAGACACGGUCCAGACUCCUACGGGAGGCAGCAGUAGGGAAUCUUCCGCAAAGGGCGAAAGCCCGACGGAGCAACGCCGCGUGAGUGAUGAAGGUCUUCGGAUCGUAAAACUCUGUUAUUAGGGAAGAACAUAUGUGUAAGUAACUGUGCACAUCUUGACGGUACCUAAUCAGAAAGCCACGGCUAACUACGUG
rnacentral:rRNA from 1 species